GGAAAGGUGGCAGAGUCCGGUUUAAUGCAACGGUCUUGAAAACCGUCGGGUGUCAAAAUCCCGUGGGCUCGAAUCCCGCCAUUUUCACCC
rnacentral:tRNA from 1 species